rnacentral:snRNA from 1 species
GAUUAAUCGAAGUCAUUUUUGGAAAUAUAGAGAAUGAAAUCGUCCUUCAAGAAUCAAAGUACUAAACUUAUUCUUGAAAGAAUUAAAUAUUAUACUUUCACUCCCAAAUUGUUAUCCUCCUGGAGAUAAUCUAAAGACAAACAAAAUAGUAGAAUAUUGUAAUUAGGAUUAGAACAGGAGGUUU